rnacentral:pre_miRNA from 1 species
AUACUCAUGCCCCUCACUUGGUGUGAGGUUGGGCCAGGAUGAACACUAGGGCUCUCCAAGGCUCCCCAUCACACCCUGCUGCUGAAGACUGCCUAGAAAGGCUGUGCUGAGUGUUAGGG